GGAUUUUUCGGCAGCCUAACCAUGCAAGUCGAACGGUAGCACAGAGAGCUUGCUCUCGGGUGACGAGUGGCGGACGGGUGAGUAAUGUCUGGGAAACUGCCUGAUGGAGGGGGAUAACUACUGGAAACGGUAGCUAAUACCGCAUAACGUCGCAAGACCAAAGAGGGGGACCUUCGGGCCUCUUGCCAUCAGAUGUGCCCAGAUGGGAUUAGCUAGUAGGUGGGGUAACGGCUCACCUAGGCGACGAUCCCUAGCUGGUCUGAGAGGAUGACCAGCCACACUGGAACUGAGACACGGUCCAGACUCCUACGGGAGGCAGCAGUGGGGAAUAUUGCACAAUGGGCGCAAGCCUGAUGCAGCCAUGCCGCGUGUAUGAAGAAGGCCUUCGGGUUGUAAAGUACUUUCAGCGGGGAGGAAGGUGUUGUGGUUAAUAACCCCA
rnacentral:rRNA from 1 species